GAGAAAGUCAACAUAGCUGAACCACAGAACAAUGACCUUAAACACCAUUUAUGAAGCAUUAAGAAGAAACAAAGAAUCUUUGAUCCAGUGGCUAACUCCAGUGCAAGGAUAGGAAAUAUGCAACAAAAAUAUGGACUAUAUUAUGAAAUCAUACAUCAAAUACAUUGACAAAGACAAUUGAAAAGAGCCCAAGUGACAAAGGAGUCAAUUGAAGAUUUGAGUGAUUUUGCUACACCAAUUGUGAAGAGCAUUUCCUGUUCACAUUUUAGAACUAUGAGAGCUUGGAAGAUUCAUUUGACUGGAACUAGGUAAUCAAUAGUAGAUUCUGUUGACAGUUUUCUCUUUCUUACUCUCCAGGAGCACUACCCUUCUCUAAAGGAUUGCUGAGUGACAUGUCAUUGAUGAAAUUCCUUUCAGAACAUUGAUCACUGACGAAGGUCAAUGAGUCAGAGAAGGUCGUAAUUUACAUCUCUGGUCAAUUAAUAUGUCCCUAGAAAAAAGACUCAUAUUUAACUUUGUUGUUAUCGAUAAAAAGAGAUGAAGGGCCCUAGAGCUAGAACAAAACUGGACAGAGACCAAUAUCAUGAAUGACUGCCAAAUGCCCCAGGACACAUGGAAGUCAUUUGUAGUUUCAACGAUUACUGGAAGAAGAGUUCAGCAGAUCCUUUUAAGAUAGCAACAUUCCAGGGAGUUCUUCGAAGUGAAUAGAAUAAUUCCCUUGGCCUCUGAUAAAUCAACUGAAAAUAGUGAUAAAGAAUCUUAGAAAUGUGUAUAAGUGCUUCCAUCACACUGGAUUCUUGAAGCCUUUUAAUGCCCUGGAACUUAAUGAAACAAAUAAAUAAACAAAAAUUAUGAGGCCUGAAUUAUGAAGAAUAAAUCCCGAAUUUCUCCCAGGCUGCUUUUGUGACCAGCCGAAUGUCAAGAAAUGGUUAACAUUAUCUCUUAUCUGAAGUCUUCAUAUAGUCUUGCCAGCUUCUGCCUUUCUCUUUGGACAUGGAGUACAUUCUCUGUACAUGAGGCCAUAUAAGCAAUGGAGGCUUUUUGAAGUCAGUAUGUUUUCUGUUAGGGACAUUGAAAAAUGCCCUCCUAAUAGGUAAUACCACAAAUACCCUAACUUGGGAAUAAAUCUCUUUCUUUGCAGAACUAUAAUCUAACAAUACUUUUUAAUCAUCUCUGACUUUUCCAAUUUUAGACUUUCCUUUUUAUUUCUCAUGUAGAGAACUUUCUCCUAAUUCUACCCUUUCUGUAUUGGUUCAGUAUUCUUUCUUUAUUUUUUCUACCACUGUCUAAAAAGCCUUUAAAUUGACUUGGAAUAAAUUUUUAAGUCCAAACCCA